rnacentral:tRNA from 1 species
GGCCCUGUGGUGAAAAAUUCAUGUUGAGUUGCAAGCUCAUUGACGUGCGUUAAGAGCGUACCGGGGCCU